AAGUCCCUUUUCCUCUGUGCCUCAGUUUCCCUGGAGGAAAAAUGGGCCAGGUGUGAUGCUUUUCGAUGACCCUGUCAACACUGUAGGCUAGAAACUUUGAAACUAUUCCCUGCAGGCUGAGAUCUCCUGGAAGAAGGACCACUGAAGGAUGAAACUUUCCAGUGGUGCGUUGGGCAAGCUGAAUUAAAUUGGAAGCCAUAGCUUUAUCCAGGGAGGUGGGGCUAAUUCUCCUCCAUUUGAGUGUGGGCUGCCCAUGGUGACUGUAAUGGAUAGAAUACAGCAGAAGUGAUGGUGUUAAAGACGGACUCAUAGGAGGUGCUGGGCUUCACCUUUGCUCUCUCUGCUGGAUCUCUCAGUGUGGGGAUGGCAGCUGCCAUGUCAUGAGGACAGCCAUGCAGCCCUAUGGAGACGUCAACAUGGGCCCCACCUGUAAAAUGGGAAUAACAGCAGCAUCUCCCUGAGAUGUUCUUUCAAAGAUGAGAAAACAUGAACAACUGGACUCUCUUGCCCAAGCCAUGGUCUCAGUGUUUCCUAAGAUUUAAAACAUUUCAUCCUGAAGACAGACUCUGAGAUGCUCUCUGCACUUGGCUGGAGGAGAGAUGAGCAAUGCUCUGGAAGUGCUGAAGCCCUGGGCUCUUGGAGCUGCCUGCCUGAGGCUGAGCUGUGUGGGAGGAGAAGAAGAACAGCAACAGCCUGGGGAGACAAACACACAAACAAACCUACAAACAAGGGAUGUGUUUGUUACUGAAAGAGAAAGGGCCCAUUCAGCUCUAGGCCCUAGAUGCUCAAUGCUUCCUCCAGGCCUGGAGCCCAGGCAGCUGUCACAUUUAUCUAUCCCCAAAGCCACCUGUGACCCCUGGCUGCUGCACGGGAGGUCCCUGGGCCUGCAAGGGUGGGGGUGGUGACCCUUUCCCUCAUGGCUCAUGGGUUGGCUCCUCAGGCCCUGUCCCAUGGCCUGGGUGGGGUCUCCUUCUCCUUCCUCUUCCUCCACUCGGUGGCUCUAUUCUUAUCCUUCACCUCUGAAGUCCCAGGGACAAACAGUGGGGCCCUCUGGAUGAAGAGAGGGCUUGAAAUGCUGAUGGCUGGAAUGGAGAGAAUUAUUCAAACCAUCCUGGGGUGAGAAAGAGGAGAAGGCAAAGUAACAUUUUUUGAGCACCUACUAUGUGCUUGACACACUGCUGAGCCAUUUCAUCUAAUACUUCCAGCCAAAAGGAGUGGCGGCUCAGAGCUCGAGCAGCUGGCUCUGACUGACAGUGCAUUCCCUUUCCAGGAAAAGAUCCACCCCAUGGGGCUGUGAUGUUAAGAAACAGGACAGGGAAGCAUAAAGGCUACAGUGAGUGAGGGAGUAGCUGACACACAGUAGUGUUCAAUAGAUACUGUGCCCCCAUCCUGAGUCCCUAUGCAUUUUGUAGAAGACUUGUUUAAUGGAAAGGAAAAAACCAUGCUAUAACUGAUCCAUUUAUUUUAUUCAAUAAAUAUUUACUGAGCACCUACUGUGUGCCAGAAACUGUGUAGGGGCUGAAACACAUCAAUGGCCAAGAUGGAAACUGGGAAAGUGCCCCUGCCCUUGCGCAGUUUACAUUCUAGUGGAAUGGCCAGGAGAGGGACCCUUCACGUGCACUUGUCCAGCACAGCUGUGUUGAGUGCUGACUAUGUGUCGGGCUCUGGUCUCUGCAUGGUGUUCUUCAACCUGAGUGUCAGGCUAGGAAGCAGCACUGACUGCCCUGGGCUGUACUGAGCCUCCAUGGGGAUUUCAGAAAAGGUGCUCUUUCUUCUGACAUCUGCCAGAAAAAUGUCUCUAAUCAGUAUGCAAAUUGAUAAUGAUAAUAACAUAUAAACACCAACCUCUGGGGUUGUGCAGUGAACAAACUACCCAACUGUCCCCAACAGGGCUGCUCAGAACCACCCAGGAGCCCCUCCAACCCUGCGUGUAUGUCCCUCCAGUGUUCUUCCACACACUGCAAUAGCUCCAUCAUGAUGCGUACGAAUUGUGAUGAAUGAAAAUAAGAGCUUCCAUUGGCUGAAGACUCACUAAGUUUCCAUAAACCACUAAUAUUCCAAAUUCCCAAUUCCAUUCAGUCCCCGCAUUCCCCUAUGAGGUAGCAUUUAUGGGUUCAGUCACGUGCCCCCAAUAUUCAUAUGUUGAAGUCCUAAGCCCUGACCUCGGGAUGUGACUGCAUUUGGAGAUGGGGUCUUUGAAGCUAUAAUUAAGGUAAAAUGAGUUCAUUAGGGUGGACCCUUAUCCAACGUGGCUGAUUUCUCAAAAGAAGAGAUUUGAACACAAAAGCGUGCAGAGGGAAGACCAAGUGAGGACACAGGCCAGCUACAAGCUAAGGAAAGUGGCCUCAGAAGAAACCAGCUAUGUAGGGACCAUCCCUUGAUCUUGAACUUCUAGCCUAUAGAACUGUGAGAGAAUGAAUUUCUGUUGUUUAAGCCACCCUGUCUCUGGUACUUUAUUGUGGCAGCCCUUGCAAACUAAUACAGAUAGAUUCUAUUAUUUCCCCCGUUUUUACCAAUAAACACACUGAGUCAGUGAGAGGUUAUGUACCAUGUCCAAGGUCACGAGCUAAGAGGUAGGGACGUGGGGUUGGAACUCAGCUCUGAUUCCACACCCAUGCACUUAGCCCCACUGCACUGCACAGAUUUUUCCUUUUUAAUCCCUUUUUGGCCCCUUCAGAGGGGCAUGUCUUAACUGGAUCUCUGCAGGGUGAGCAUGUCAAAAGAGAGGUUGGCACUGAGACUCCACACAUCCACAAACCCUUACCCUGGGCCAGCCCUGCAGAGCCCUGGGCCAUGGGCUGUCUGCCCAGGCAUCUGGGACAAGCUAAAGAAGUUCUCUACUCAUUCUGUUUUAUUUUCUAAACAUUAUUGGUCUUUGGAAGUAGUGACCUUUGAAGAAAGAAAGAAAAAUUCCAGAUAUUCCAAAGAUAGUGAGUAAUCUCUGCAGUCAACCCUAGACCAGGGAAGAGCAAGGAUUCUCUGUGAAGAGCCAGACAGCAAACCUCCCAGGCUCUGCUGGCCAGAAGCGUGUGGCAGCCACUCCACUCCACCACCUCAGCUCAAGACCGCCAUAGGCAGUGUGCAAAUGAAUGAACACAGCUGGCUUCCAUUAUAGCUUUAUUUAUAGACACUAAUAUCUGGAUUUUAUAUCAUCUUUCCAUGUCACAAAAUAUUCUUCUUUUGAUUUUUUUAAACUAUUUAAAAAUGUAAAAACCAUUCUUAGCUUUCGAUCCUUACAAGAAAGGGCUUUGGGCUGGAUUUGGGUUGGUGUAGAUUGUUGUAUUCAUCAUUUCUGAGAAGGAAUUUUUAGACUCUCAGAGCUGGGAAGGCCUAAUGACCCAAUGAGCCCUAGUUUGGUUUACAGAUGGAGACGCAGAUGCUCAGAGCUCUGGUGACUUCAGGAUCAUGAGCUCUUGAGGGCCAUGGUUCCACCUCCAGUCUCAUGGCUCAAUCCCUUCUUCCCACCCUGAGAACACAGCCCCACCAGGAGAGUGAGGAUGUUUCUUUCCAAAAUAAACUCUAAACCCAGGGGCCAACUGGCUCAGCUCCUAUCUGACAAAUUUCCUGAAGCAGUCCACUACUAAGGCUGAAAGGCAGUACGUUACAGCAGGUAGAUGCUCAGAGUGGUGCGAGAUGCACAGCGUGUCCUAUGUUCAGGUUUGUGGUGAUGUCAACACAGUAACUCAGGCUGAACUCACAGCCCACGCUGGGCUCUGCACAAACACCUUCUGGAGCAUUAUUGCAUCAUCACCAUUAAUCCCCCUGAUAACCCUACAAGGUGAGUGAUGUCUGUUUUACAAAUAAGAAGAUCGAAGCUCAGAGGUUAAGUCACUUCACCAAAGACACACAGCUAACAAGUGGCAGCCCAGGCCUCAAAUCCAGGCCUGACUGGCUUUCUUGCUGGGUGUUCAGGGGUGACAGGACCAGGCCCCCCUCUGCCCUGCUGGCCCCAGGAGCAUAUUCCUUCAUGUCAGACCACCAGGCCUUCUGUUGGGGUUGGUCAUGUGGUCACCCUCGCCAUGGGGCUGAUGCAGGUGGCAUGUUCCCGGUGUGUUCACAGGGAUAUUUCUCAGAGAAGAUGAGUCAUGCAGAACUCCAUCACUGAGACGCCCCUACAGGCAGUAGACUCAGAAGCCAAGAUGACAUCACCACCAUCUUCCCUCUCUCCUGCCCAGACUGUUUAAAACUGAUCCUGACAGAUAAACAGUCACGUAGGAAAUGACACGCAUAUGGAGAUGCCUGUUGUUGUGUUGUGUCUGAAAGCAACAACGUGAAAUUAACCCAGAUGCUAAAAGAAGGGCUGAGUUUGAUGAAUGAUGGUCUAUUCAAACGGCAGGACAAUGCACAGCCAUUAAAGUGUUCCUAAGGAAUAUUUGUAUUUAUUGCCCUGGAGCAACAGUGUAUCAAGAGAUGAAACUGAUUAUAAAAUCAUGUGUCUGGUAGAAUGUCAUUUAAAUGAAAAAAGCAUGAUAUAUGUGCAUAGAAAGUAACUGGAAUUUGACCAGGCAUGGUGGCUUACACCUGUAAUCCCAGCAUUUUGGGAGAUAGAGGCAGGCAGAUCACCUGAGGUCAGGAGUUCGAGACCAGCCUGGCCAACAUGGCAAAACUCUGUUUCUACUGAAAAAUUAAAAAAUUAGCUGGGUAUGGUGUCGGGUGCUUGUAAUCCAAGCUACUCCGGAGGCUAAGCAGGAGAAUUUCUUGAACCUGAGAGGCCGAGGUUGUAGUGAGCCGAGAUUGUGCCACUGUACUCCAACCUGGGCGACAAAGCGAGCCUCUAUUCCUCACCCAGCAAAAAAAUAACUGGAAUUGUAUACACCAAAAUGUUAACACAUUAUUUUGAGUGUAUUUAUUCCUUCAUUCACCCAACUAACAUUUAUUGAGUUAACAGCCCAUUUAUGUGCCAGGAAGCACACUAAGUGCUAGGAACAGAGUAGUAAAUACAACCAGGGGAUGGGAUGAUGACUGAUUUUUUUAUUAGACUAUUUUGUAGAGCAGUUUUAAGUUCACAGCAAAGCUGAGAGGAAGGCACAGAGAUUUCCCAUAUACUCCCUACCCCUAAACAUGCAUAGCCUCCCCCAUUAUCAACAUCCCCCAUCAGAGGGUACAUUGUGACAGCUGAUGAUCUUACAGAGACACAUCAUCAUCACCAAAGACCAUCAUUUACAUUAGGGUUCGCUCUUGGUGUUGCACAUUCUAUGGAUUUUGACAAAUGUAUAAUGACAUGAAUCUAGCAUUAGAGUAUCAUGCAGAGUUUCACCAUCCUAAGCAUCCUCUGUGCUCUGCUUAUUCCUCCCUCCCUCCGCUCUAGCCCUCGGAAACCACUGAUCUUUUUACUGUCACUAGUUUUGCCUUUUUCAGAAUGCCAUAUAGUUGGAGGCAUAUGAUAUGUAGCCUUUUCAGAUUAAUUGCUUUCACCUAGUAAUAUGCAUUUCAGUUUCCUCCAUAUAUUUUCAGGCUUGUUAGCUCAUUUCUUUUUAGUGCUGAAUGAUAUUCCACUGUCUAGAUGAGCUACAUUCUAUUUAUUCAUUCACCCCCUAAAAGACAUCUUAGUUGCUUCCAAGUUUUGGCAAUUACGUGUGAAGCUGCUACAAACGUCUGCAUGCAGGUUUUCGUGUGGACAUUCGUUUUCAAUCCUUUGGGUAAAUACCAAGGAGCACAGUUGCUGGGUAGUGUGGCGUAUUAGUUCAUUUUCACACUGCUAUACAUACCUGAGAUUGGGUAAUUUAUUAAUAAAAAGAAAAAAGGCUUAAUUGGCUCACAGUUCUGCAGGCUGUUCAGAAAGCAUAGCGGCUUCUGCUGGGGAGACCUCAGGAAACUUUUACUCAAUUUUGCUGGCAAAGGGAGAGCCAGCAUUUCACAUGGCCAGAGCAAGAGGAAGGGGGGUGCCACACUGUUUUAAACAAUCAGUUCUCAUGAGAACUCACUAUCACGACAACAGCACCAAAGGGGGAUGGUGUUAAACCACAAGAAAUUGCCUCCAUGAUCCAGUCACCUCCCACCUGGCCCCAGCAUUGGGGAUUACAUUUCAACAUGAGAUUUGGGUAGGGACACAGAUCCAAACCAUAUCAUAUGGUAAAAUUAUGUCCAGUUUUGUAAGAAACUGCCACACUGUCUUCCAACAUAGCUGUACUAUUUUACAUUCUCACCAACUGAUAUGGUUUGGCUCUGUGUCCCCAUCCAAGUCUCAUCUCCAAUUGUAAUCCCCCCAUGUGUCAGGGGAGGGACCAGGAGGUUGGUGAUUGGAUUAUGGGAGCGGUUUACCCCACGCUGUUCUCGUGAUGAUGAGUGAAUUCUCACGAGAUCUGAUGGUUUUAAAGUGUGGUUCUUCCUCAUUCUCCCACACACUCCCUCCUGCUGCCUUGUGAAAAAGGUGCCUGCUUUCCCUUCACUUUCUGCCAUGAUUGUUAAGUUUUCUGAGGCCUCCUAGCCACACUUCCUGGUUUUUGUCCCUCUCUUAAAGUGAAUGGUCACAGAGCCAUGAGCAGGUGGAAGAUGCAGGUGGAGGCAUCUUCCCUGUCACCGUUGGUAUGUCUGGUUGAAACCUGCAACAAGGAAUCAGUCUUCAUGCAACUCUCAGCAACCUCUACUGAGAUCUCUGUUGAAGCAUUGUUUGCAAGAGCAGAUAAUCAGAAACCACCCAAAAAAUCAUAAAGAAGACAUUGGGCAAAUCAACAAUGGUAUGCUGAGAUUUGGAUUGCCAAAUUGACCUUGAAGUGAAGGAGGCAGAUUUGCUUGUAAUAACAAUGAAAGCGAUACAAGAUCUUCUAUUUGAAGUGCAGAAUGUCCCAUUCACCAUGAGACGCUGGUAAAUAAUGUUUUCAUUUUGUGCAGCAUGCCUCCAGUUGUGUAAAGAAUGUAAAAGGGAAAUGUCUCAAAACAGAAGAAGACGCCUGUGGGCAGCACCUUCUGCAGAGUGAUCCUGGGAGCUGGAAAGAAGACUCACUUUUCAUUUUACAACCUUGGGCACUGUAAGGAUAUUUUGGGCUUGCUGGAGACCCAGGAAAGUGAGUGCUGUAAUUCCAGCCUGAAUCCAAAGGCCUGACAACCAGGGAAUUUGACGCUAUAAGUCCCGGUCCAAGGGCAAGAGAAGAUGAGAUGCCCCAGCUCAACCAGGCAUGCAGGAAGCAAAAGGGAUGAAUCUUUCCCUCCUUCCUCUGCCUUUUUGUUCUAUUCAGCCCCUCGAUGGAUUGGAUGGUUUCCACCCACACUGGGAAGGGCCAUCUGCUUUACUAAGUUCCCCCACUUGAAUGCUAGUCUCAUCCAGAAACAUCUGCACAGAUACACCUGGAAAAAAUUGGUGAAUCAGAGCAUUAACCCGUUGGCCCAGUCAAGUUGACACAAAAUUAAACCAUCACAGAAACUAUCUCUUCUGAAUAAAUAUAUUUCUCCUUUCCAUGGACAAAUCUACCUUUAAUUAAUUUUACAGGGCUUCUGUGGGCAAAGGAAUCUUAGAGUUCAUCUAGUUAGUUCUGCCCCUGUGCCUGCUUUGCAGAUGGGGAAACUGAGGCUCAGAGAGCAGACCUGAGUCCCAGGGCCUGCUGUGGGGCAGAGCUAGUCUGAGCUCCUUCCAGCACGCCUUGCUCUGCAGUGAGCCUGAUUUAUUUCCAGGGGCUGUGGUCUUGGCCCUCCUGGGCCUGCUGCCUUGUUUUCCCGUGGCCCCUUACAGAGCUCAAAACACUCCCCGCUCAGAAAUGAGGUGAUUACUCUCACUUUUGCAGAUGAGGAAACAGAGGCCCAGACAAGUGCAGUGUCCCGAGGUCACCAGCAGAAGACUCAAACUGAGGUCCUCUGUCUCCUAACCCAGUGCUGUUUCUUCUAAAAAAAAACAAAAAAACCCAAACCCAUUGGGAUACAAGGACCAAGAAACGUAAUUGUUUCUAGAUAAUUUAAAAGGCAAAGAUGCAUAGAUACUGCCUGUGUCUUAGAAGCUGGAAGAAAAUACAGUUCAGAAGGCUAGGGAAGAAUGAUAGAGGAGCAUAGGGUAACUUCUCUAAAUGCUGUUUACAUACCUGGAAUUCCACCACACCCUCUGCCAGUGCAAGCUUCCUCUUUCUGACCCAUUUAUUUCCUAGAAAAGAACUAAAACUCAUGACUCCAUUCCCCUUUGUAAAGUAGAUAUUCUUUACUAUCUGAAUCCAAAUUAUAGAUCCUAUGAUCUCCUUACAUAUGUAAUUUUAAGACAAUAGAUAUGAUGUGCUUUUACAUAUAAAGGAGAAAUGGAAUAAAAAUGAUUUGUAGUAUAUUUCUAAAUAUGCAAGUGCUUGGGCAUGACCACACUGGAAGACAUGAUGAAACAAUCAGAUUCCCAACACCUAUAAAUAAGGAACCACUGUGAAUGCACACUUACAAACACAGACCAACUUGGGUGUGUUUUGCUGGUGAUUCAGAGACUAUGAGUAGAAUUGCUGAGAGUGUUGUAAUUUUCCCAAACAGCAAGUGACUCUUGAAAGAACUCCAGACCAAACAAAGCACAAGCUUCUCUCACUUUACACUGUAGUUGCUUCCUAGAACAUUUAGGAAAUAUUAACAGUGUGCACAAAAGCCCGUCUGAGUGUCUAUGUAACAUGUAGCUAGGUUCUGAGCUUAGAUCAUCAUAAACGACUGUUUUACUUGCAUGAAUGUCCACCGGCACAUUUUUUUCAUACCCUUAGCUUGACUUCAG
rnacentral:lncRNA from 1 species